rnacentral:snRNA from 1 species
GUGCUUACUUCUGCAACUUAAAUCCUUAAAUAGAAGCAAUACAAGAAAGAUAAACAUGGACCUUGUGCAGGUAUGCCAGGCGAGUUGGUGAAACAUUCCAUACUUUU